GAUGAACGCUGGCGGCGUGCCUAAUACAUGCAAGUCGAGCGAACGGACGAGAAGCUUGCUUCUCUGAUGUUAGCGGCGGACGGGUGAGUAACACGUGGAUCACCUACUUAUAAGACUGGGAUAACUUCGGGAAACCGUAGCUAAUACCGGAUAAUAUUUUGAACCGCAUGGUUCAAAAGUGAAAGACGGUCUUGCUGUCACUUAUAGAUGGAUCCGCGCUGCAUUAGCUAGUUGGUAAGGUAACGGCUUACCAAGGCAACGAUGCAUAGCCGACCUGAGAGGGUGAUCGGCCACACUGGAACUGAGACACGGUCCAGACUCCUACGGGAGGCAGCAGUAGGGAAUCUUCGGCAAUGGGCGAAAGCCUGACGGAGCAACGCCGCGUGAGUGAUGAAGGUCUUCGGAUCGUAAAACUCUGUUAUUAGGGAAGAACAUAUGUGUAAGUAACUGUGCACAUCUUGACGGUACCUAAUCAAAAAGCCACGGCUAACUACGUG
rnacentral:rRNA from 1 species